rnacentral:rRNA from 1 species
AUGUUCUGCCGGUCUGCCAUCAACAUACCGUCUUCACGCAUGCCCACUAAUCCGCUCACCACCACGUCUCAGUUGCCAAAAAAACAUCACGUCUCCAACUCCAACCAUAGCGCCCCCUCUCCACCAGCCGCCAGAGAACUCCUCCCUGUUCCCAUCGCCGCCGCCGCCGCCCACCGCUCCUCCUCUCCUCUGCUACCCCAGGCGCGAGGAACCAACCUCCCGAAGCAACCAGAGCGGCAAAGCGGCAGAGGAAUUGAGAGAUGGCGUUUGCGGCGGCGGGGAAGGAGAAGGGGCGGGCGUCCUACAUCCGGAUCAAGCACGGGGGAGGAGCGGCGCGAGGCAUCCUGGAAGGAGCCCGAGGGCCGGGUCUUCUCCGCCACCACGCGCACCGAUGUCGCCACGCGCCUUGGCGACCUCCGCGACCAGAUCCUCGUCGGUUGCACCUCCUUCGCCGACCUCGCCGCACAGCACUCCAGCUGCUCCUCCGCCCGCCACGGCAACGACCUAGUGCAUCUGGUAGAACCAAUCGAUUUGCAGAAUAUGGCAUGA